ACCAUCCUGGGAUCUUGCUAAAAUGCAGACUCUGACUCAGGAGGGUGGGCCUGAGAUUCUGCAUUUCUAACAACAAGCUCCCAGGUGAUGCUAA
rnacentral:pre_miRNA from 1 species